rnacentral:rRNA from 1 species
UACGGAGGGUGCAAGCGUUAAUCGGAAUUACUGGGCGUAAAGCGCACGCAGGUGGCUGAGUCAGUCGAUUGUGAAAGCCCUGGGCUUAACCUGGGAAUUGCAGUCGAUACUACUCAGCUAGAGUAUGGGAGAGGGUAGUGGAAUUCCCGGUGUAGUGGUGGAAUGCGUAGAUAUCGGGAGGAACACCAGUGGCGAAGGCGGUUGCCUGGAGCUUUGCUGACGCUGAGGCGCGAAAGCGUGGGGAGCGAUCCGG